GCGGCAGGCUUAACACAUGCAAGUCGAGCGGGGGAAGGUAGCUUGCUACUGGACCUAGCGGCGGACGGGUGAGUAAUGCUUAGGAAUCUGCCUAUUAGUGGGGGACAACAUCUCGAAAGGGAUGCUAAUACCGCAUACGUCCUACGGGAGAAAGCAGGGGAUCUUCGGACCUUGCGCUAAUAGAUGAGCCUAAGUCGGAUUAGCUAGUUGGUGGGGUAAAGGCCUACCAAGGCGACGAUCUGUAGCGGGUCUGAGAGGAUGGUCCGCCACACUGGGACUGAGACACGGCCCAGACUCCUACGGGAGGCAGCAGUGGGGAAUAUUGGACAAUGGGGGGAACCCUGAUCCAGCCAUGCCGCGUGUGUGAAGA
rnacentral:rRNA from 1 species